rnacentral:lncRNA from 1 species
NNNNNNNNNNNNNNNNNNNNNNNNNNNNNNNNNNNNNNNNNNNNNNNNNNNNNNNNNNNNNGCUGUCACAUCCUGUCACACACUGUCACCCCCCGUGUCACCCCCCCGUGUCCCCCCCGCACUGACCGCCUUGGGGGGGACCCUGCCCCAUCCCUGUCCCCGUCCCCGGGGGGCUCCUGGGGCUCCCCCCACCCCCGCGGGAUAUUUUUGUAUUUUGGUGGAAACGAUUUCAGCAUAAAAACCGGAGAAAUGGGAGCGGCUGCGGAUGUGGGGGGGGGAGAGGAUUUACACACCCCUUACACAGCCCUUACACAGCUGUUACACAUCCCUUACACACCCCUUACACAGCAAUUACACAGCCGUUACACACCCGAUACACACCGGGAGGUGACACCGGGGACACGGCCUGGGCUGGUGCUUUUGGGGUCAAUCCAAGGAUUUUUGGGGUCGAUCCGAGGCUUUUUGGGAUCCUGUAUUUCUGUACAGCGGGGAGGGGGUGUGGGGGUGUCCCCACCAUUGUCCCGGUCCCGGAUCUGUCUGGGGGAUCCGUUUGGGAUCCGGGAUCCAUCCAGGGGGUCCAGAGGGGUUCAGGAUCUGUCCAGGAGAUCAGUCCAGAGGGGCCUGGGAUCCGUUUGGGGGAUCCAGGGGGAUCUGGGAUCCAUCCAAGCAGUCCAGAGGGGCCUGGGAUCCGUUUGGGAUCCGGGAUCCAUCCAGGGGGUCCAGGGCAAACGGGUCCCAUCCUUGGGGGUCCCGCAGCAGCCAGGAGUGCGCCGGCUCUGGGAUCUCAGUGUCCCCUGCUUGUCACAGGUGUCCCCAAAGUGCCACAGGGACCUGGGAUGUGCCACAGGUGUGCCAUUGUCCCCCGGUGUCCCUGGGCUGGGCCUGGCAGCUCCCCACGAUGUCCCCGAGGGUCCCUGGGGUGGCCCCGGGCUGUCCCCGAUGUCCCCAGUGUCCCUUGUGGGUCACGGCGCUGUUGGUGCCACCUCGGGCAGUCCCCAGUGUCCCCGGUGUCCCCUGGGGUCACUGUGCUGGGGGUGUCACCUCAGGCUCGCUGUCACUGCUGUCCCCGAUGUCCCCCGGGGUCAGGGCGAAGGGCGGUGGCAGCUCCUCAUCCGACGAGCCCAGCGAGUCCUCGUCCCCCAGGCGUGUCCCCAAGGCCACCGCGCCGAAGGACAGCGGCCCCCGCAGCAGCCGGAUCUGGGGACAGCGGGGACAGGAGAGAGGGGACACGUUGUCACCAGCUGUCCCCAGACCACGUGGCACUGAGGGGACAUCGCCGGUGGCACCCAGGGAUGUCACCAGUGGCA